rnacentral:rRNA from 1 species
GGGGGCUAGUGACCGGUCUACACCGGAUGUUCAUAACCCUUUGUUGUCCGACUCUGUUGCCUCCGGGGCGACCCUGCCUUCGGGCGGGGGCUCCGGGUGGACACUUCAAACUCUUGCGUAACUUUGCAGUCUGAGUAAACUUAAUUAAUAAAUUAAAACUUUUAACAACGGAUCUCUUGGUUCUGGCAUCGAUGAAGAACGCAGCGAAAUGCGAUAAGUAAUGUGAAUUGCAGAAUUCAGUGAAUCAUCGAAUCUUUGAACGCACAUUGCGCCCCCUGGUAUUCCGGGGGGCAUGCCUGUUCGAGCGUCAUUUCACCACUCAAGCCUCGCUUGGUAUUGGGCAACGCGGUCCGCCGCGUGCCUCAAAUCGACCGGCUGGGUCUUCUGUCCCCUAAGCGUUGUGGAAACUAUUCGCUAAAGGGUGCUCGGGAGGCUACGCCGUAAAACAACCCCAUUUCUAAGGUUGACCUCGGAUCAGGUAGGGAUACCCGCUGAACUUAAGCAUAUCAAUAGCCGGAGGA